GUGUUGCAGAGUUCUCCAAGGUUUCCACCCAAUUGUCUAAGACAACAGAAUUCUUAGGAAUAUAUAUCACUGAAUGCCACCGCAAGAGAAGGUAAGUACUACACGUACGGUUGAUUCAUGAUUAAUUAUUAGAUAUUUUGAUUAAUUAGGUAUGUUUGAUUUCCCUACCCUGUAGUAUCGAAUGAGCCUGGUCUGUCAGUUUCAUCAUUGGGCAUGCUACUUUUUUCUGUAUUUUUGGAUGAUAUUUACCCAGGACUGAUUGUUUGGCCAUGCGGUAUUUGCUCGCUUUAACAGCAUGGGUAUUUCACUGUGCUACCGGCCUAUUUCUUCAACUGUAAGUUUUAUGAAAGUAUGCUCAUCAUGGGAAGCUAGAGCUUUGACUGCUUCCUUAUUUUAAAUUGUACUAUAAGAUUUCACAUGAUACGGGACUACAUGUUUAACUUCUUCCUUGGUACUUUAGUUUUGGUCUUUAGGGCUAUAAGGAGAUCAAUUAUUACUUCAAAUUUUGAAGUGGUGUGGAUAUACUAUAGAUAGAUAUAUAGCAGUAUGACAGUACCUAUGAGCGUGAUAUGUUCAUUUCGGAACUGUUUCGUAAUCUAGGCAUGGAUUUGUUUGGGAAUUGUACAUCCUAUUGGUUUGCUGUUAUCAUUUCCUUGGGUGCAUGUAUUCAGGAGAUUAAAAGUAUAGUUAAUGGUGGCAUUUGGACUUUAUUUUUGCGAUUUAAAAAUUAAAGCAAUGCAUCUAUUACACAUUGGGUCUCAGAUUUCAAUUUGCUUCAGAAUCCAAAUGUGUUACUUACUCAAUCAUGUUUGUUACCCUUCUAACAGGUUCCAAACCAAUCACUUGGCGCAUGAUAUAUGGAAUGAAUGAUAGUUUCGGCUUUCUUUUACUUCUGAAUACACCAGUAGGCCUAAAUCCGGCCAAAAGACCAGCGGAAUUGGUUAUCUAAUUGCUCAAGUGAUACAUUGAAGAGGUUUACAAUGUGAAAACAGUACAGUGAUGAUACACACCUGGGACAUGGAUGAGGUCCACAUGAAGUACUCUGAGAUAGAGAAAAAUGUGUGAUUUAAAAGGUUUGGACGAGUCAAUGAGGCGUUGUUUGCGAGUUAAAAUCUUCAUGAGGAAUUCUCAGGAAAAUUCCGAAUAUAGCAAAGUGGGAAAUUGUGCAUCUUGAAGAAUAAGAUUGGACGCUCAACCAUCCUUUCUGUUUACUUCUUAUUUAGAGUUUUGUCCAUUGUAAUGAUUCUUCUCCCCAGAUCCAAAAUUCUCUGGAUUCUGUGGACUGUAAAUUCCCGAUGUAGAAAGAACAUUAGCAGGGAAUAAUGGUUUGCUCACAAAAUAUGUCAUGUAUUGCAGGUUCGUGCAUAUUGUGGUUAACAAGAAGAUCUAUGUGGUGCAUGCAGUCCAUUCUGAGGACUGCAGAUUGAAAAAGUUCCUGGAAAUUAUUGUAUUUCUCUCAUCGAUUUUGGCACCACCACCGCUGCAGG